rnacentral:rRNA from 1 species
ACGCUCGACACCUACGGGAGCAGCAGUGGGGAAUAUUGCACAAUGGGGGAAACCCUGAUGCAGCGACGCCGCGUGAGUGAAGAAGUAUUUCGGUAUGUAAAGCUCUAUCAGCAGGGAAGAAGAUGACGGUACCUGAGUAAGAAGCCCCGGCUAACUACGUGCAGCAGCCGCGGUAAUCUGAGCGGGCUGGCAAGGC